UCCUUUGAGAUGAAGAGGUUCAAAUAUUGUACAAUUAACUGCUAUCAGCUAUUGUGUGUGAUUCAUCCCCUCUGAAAGAAAGAAGCAGGAUGCGUAAAGAAUUUUUUUAAACAGUUCUCAAUUUGAAAUGCAACAGGGAAUCCAUCCUGAACCGGGAGCAGGCCUUCAGACCCUGUGGAAUGCGUAAGCAGAGUCACCACGGCACUGGCUCUCAGCAAAAAAUCCUUUCAUGAAUGAAUAACCACAGACCGGUAGUCCAAGAGGGUGCUUAGGCUUGUUCUUGGAUAAGACACAUAUCCCACUCUUAUGAGCUACUUGAGUUGUUGCCUCCCAAGCUGAUUCAUCUGCAGCAGACGGACCCGUGUCUUCCCUAUCAUCGUCACCGCAGUCAGCUUCUCUCCUUGUUUACCCGAAAUAAGAGCUAAUCACAGCAAUGUCAGUGUUUCCUCAGGGAAACUCGGGGACAUGAAUUCCACAGUGGCAUCGGUGGCAAACUGGAAGAGUCUCCUGUCUUCUUCAAGCCUUCUCAAUCUGACACAAACACAGAAAGAUAAUUGCCGUCGUAAAUUCUAGUAGUGUUUACUAAGAGCUGGGUACUUGUCUCCAGUUCUAUUAAAAUGUACAACAAUCCUGCACUGUAUGGACAGCUCUCUUCAUUGCCUUACUUUUGAAGGUUUGAGACACAGUUACUCAACUUGCCUAAGGCUAUAUAGAAAGUACCAGUGCCAGGAACGCCUUAUCAGCAGGCUGUCCCUAGACUGAAUGCUUUUAAUCACUCCUAGGUGACAGGGUUUCUAUCCUUUCUCAUCUACAGCUUCUUCAUGCAUAUGUAUGAAAUCAUACCAUCUUUGCCAUUUCAGCAACAGCCUUCUCUAGUUCAUGAAGCAUUUUUUCUCUUGAAUUGUAACAAAUAACA